CAGGUGGAUUUUGGGGUCUCUCAGGUGAAUUUUGGGGUACCUUUCGGCCCCCCCCGCGCCAGCCGCGGGUGGAACUGUCCAUUACCGAUUUUUGGUGUUCCAGGUGAAUUUUGGGGUCUCUCAGGUGAAUUUUGGGGUGUCUCAGGUGAAUUUUGGGGUGUCUCAGGUGUAUUUUGGGGUACCUUUCGGCCCCCCCCGCGCCAGCCGCGGGUGGAACUGUCCAUUACCGAUUUGGGGUCUCUCAGGUGAAUUUUGGGGUGUCUCAGGUGAAUUUUGGGGUGUCUCAGGUGAAUUUUGGGGUACCUUUCGGCCCCCCCCGCGCCAGCCGCGGGUGGAACUGUCCAUUACCGAUUUUUGGUGUUUCUCAGGUGAAUUUUGGGGUGUCUCAGGUGGAUUUUGGGGUACCUUUCGGCCCCCCCCGUGCCAGCCGCGGGUGGAACUGUCCA